rnacentral:rRNA from 1 species
UACGUAGGGUGCAAGCGUUAUCCGGAAUUAUUGGGCGUAAAGAGCUCGUAGGCGGUGUGUCACGUCGGCCGUGAAAACCUGCAGCUUAACUGUGGGCGUGCGGUCGAUACGGGCAUCACUGGAGUUCGGCAGGGGAGACUGGAAUUCCUGGUGUAGCGGUGAAAUGCGCAGAUAUCAGGAGGAACACCGGUGGCGAAGGCGGGUCUCUGGGCCGAUACUGACGCUGGAGGAGCGAAAAGCGUGGGGAGCAAACAGG